ACUGGGUGUGUUGGUGAGCACCUGUAGUCCCAACUGCUAGGGAGGCUGAAACAGUAGGAUCACUGGAGCCCAGGAGUUCAGAGCUAGCCAGACAACAUAGUGAGACUCCAUCUUUU
rnacentral:sRNA from 1 species